AAACGAUUUUGGGUAUCUUUAC
rnacentral:siRNA from 1 species